rnacentral:rRNA from 1 species
AUUGAACGCUGGCGGCAGGCCUAACACAUGCAAGUCGAGCGGAUGAAGGGAGCUUGCUCCUGGAUUCAGCGGCGGACGGGUGAGUAAUGCCUAGGAAUCUGCCUGGUAGUGGGGGAUAACGUCCGGAAACGGGCGCUAAUACCGCAUACGUCCUGAGGGAGAAAGUGGGGGAUCUUCGGACCUCACGCUAUCAGAUGAGCCUAGGUCGGAUUAGCUAGUUGGUGGGGUAAAGGCCUACCAAGGCGACGAUCCGUAACUGGUCUGAGAGGAUGAUCAGUCACACUAGAACUGAGACACGGUCCAGGCUCCUACGGGAGGCAGCAGUGGGGAAUAUUGGACAAUGGGCGGAAGCCUGCUCCAGCCAUGCCGCGUGUGUGAAGAAGGUCUUCGGAUUGUAGAGCACUUUAAGUUGGGAGGAAGGGCAGUGAGUUAAUACCUUGCUGUUUUGACGUUACCAACAGAGUAAGCACCGGCUAACUUCGUG